CUACCAACAAGAUGAUUGGACAACUCUUUUGUCAUUGGCAGAGUUUUCUUACUAUAACACGGUGUUUUAAUACGUGAAGUCUUGCUUGAGAAUUCUCAGGGCAUCGAGCUAUAGAAGAAAGAAUAGAAAUUAAAAUAACAAAAUCCUAAUUCUAAUAGAAUACUAAUUAUACUAUAAUUAGACUAUAAUUAUGUUAAACAAGCUUAAUCAAAUUCAAAAAAAUCUCAAAGAAAUAUUUCUUAAAGAAAUAUUAGAAGAAUCACAAAUAUCACUUCAAUACAUCUCAAUUCAAUCUUAAUUUAAUUCUAGUUAAAAUCCUAUUGAACUUCAUUCAAACUUUAGGCCAAAACUACUUGAAUCUUAAAUCCUAAUAAAAUCCUAAACCCUGAAUCAUAUCCUAAACAAACCUUACAGGAAACUACAACCAAAUCCUAAAUCAAAUCCUAACCAAACCCUAAACCAAAUCAUAAAUCCUAAAUCAAACCAUUACCAAAUCCUAACCAAAUCCUAAACCCUAAACUAAAUCCUAAUCCAAAUCUUAAACCCUAAAUAAAACUAAAUCUAAAUCCUAAACUCUAAAUCAAAUUCUAACCAAACUCUAAAUCCUAAAUAAAAUCUUAACCAAAUCCUAAACCAAAUCCUAAAUCAAACCUUAAUAAAAUCUUAAACCCUAAAUAAAAUCCUAAAAAAAAUCCUAAAUCCUAAACCAAACCCUAAACCUUAAAUCAAACCCUAACCAAAUCCUAAUCAAAUCCUAAAUCCUAAAUCAAAUCCUAAAUCCUAAACUAAACCCUAACCAAAUCCUAAACCCUAAACC
rnacentral:lncRNA from 1 species